UACGAAGGGGGCUAGCGUUGCUCGGAAUCACUGGGCGUAAAGCGCACGUAGGCGGAUUGUUAAGUCAGGGGUGAAAUCCUGGAGCUCAACUCCAGAACUGCCUUUGAUACUGGCGAUCUCGAGUUCGGGAGAGGUGAGUGGAACUGCGAGUGUAGAGGUGAAAUUCGUAGAUAUUCGCAAGAACACCAGUGGCGAAGGCGGCUCACUGGCCCGAUACUGACGCUGAGGUGCGAAAGCGUGGGGAGCAACAGGG
rnacentral:rRNA from 1 species